CGGGGAAUCUUGCGCAAUGGGCGAAAGCCUGACGCAGCAACGCCGCGUGCGGGAUGAAGGCCUUCGGGUUGUAAACCGCUUUCAGCAGGGACGAAACUGACGGUACCUGCAGAAGAAGCCCCGGCUAACUACGUGCCAGCAGCCGCGGUAAUACGUAGGGGGCUAGCGUUAUCCGGAUUCAUUGGGCGUAAAGCGCGCGUAGGCGGGCUGUUAAGUCAGAUGUGAAAACCGGGGGCUUAACCCGCGGCCUGCAUCUGAAACUGGCAGCCUCGAGUCUGGUAGAGGAAAGUGGAAUUCCCAGUGUAGCGGUGAAAUGCGCAGAUAUUGGGAGGAACACCAGUGGCGAAGGCGGCUUUCUGGGCCACGACUGACGCUGAGGCGCGAAAGCUAGGGGAGCAAACA
rnacentral:rRNA from 1 species